rnacentral:rRNA from 1 species
GACGAACGCUGGCGGCGUGCCUAAUACAUGCAAGUAGAACGCACAGUUUAUACCGUAGCUUGCUACACCAUAGACUGUGAGUUGCGAACGGGUGAGUAACGCGUAGGUAACCUGCCUGGUAGCGGGGGAUAACUAUUGGAAACGAUAGCUAAUACCGCAUAAUAUUGAUUAUUGCAUGAUAAUUAAUUGAAAGGUGCAAUUGCACCACUACCAGAUGGACCUGCGUUGUAUUAGUUAGUAGGUGAGGUAACGGCUCACCUAGGCGACGAUACAUAGCCGACCUGAGAGGGUGAUCGGCCACACUGGGACUGAGACACGGCCCAGACUCCUACGGGAGGCAGCAGUAGGGAAUCUUCGGCAAUGGACGAAAGUCUGACCGAGCAACGCCGCGUGAGUGAAGAAGGUUUUCGGAUCGUAAAGCUCUGUUGUAAGAGAAGAACGGGUGUGAGAGUGGAAAGUUCACACUGUGACGGUAUCUUACCAGAAAGGGACGGCUAACUACGUG